CACGUAGGGCGCAAGCGUUGUCCGGAUUUACUGGGCGUAAAGAGCGCGCAGGCGGUCUUGUAAGUCGAAUGUGAAAGCCCCUGGCUCAACCGGGGAGGGUCAUUCGAUACUGCUCGACUCGAAGGCAGGAGAGGGAAGCGGAAUUCCCGGUGUAGUGGUGGAAAUGCGUAGAUAUCGGGAGGAACACCAGUGGCGAAGGCGGGUCUCUGGGCCGAUACUGACGCUGAGGAGCGAAAGCGUGGGGAGCGAACAGG
rnacentral:rRNA from 1 species